UAUCAGCAGCAGUGUUGCCAAAUAAACAUAACCAGUAAAUAUUUCAGCAGAAUGUUAAACUCUAUUGUUCUUUCUUUAAUAGGUCCAUGAUUAGACUUCCUGUUUUACAUGAUGUCCCAACAUGUGUUGGAAUGGUAACUUCAGUACCACCUGAGAGCUUGGAGUCUGCCUUUCUGUGAAAGGCAAACUCCAUGCUCUAGAGGUGGUACUAAUGUCCCUAACUCUCAACACAUGUUGGAACAUCUUUGUGGAGGAGGAAGUCAUUGAUCAGUGAGCAGCA